rnacentral:rRNA from 1 species
AGGGUGGACGGGUGAGGGUAGGUGAACGACGGGUGAGAGUGGGUGUGGGAGAGUAAGGGGAGGGAGCAGCGGAGAGGCGUAGCGGCGGCCGGUGGCGUCGGGUAACGCAAGAGUGAGGCCGUCGGGUGGCACAAGAAGGAGGACGUCGGGUCGCGAACGAAGGAGAGGAAGGAAAGGGUGGCGAACGAAGGAGAGGAAGGAAAGGGUAGGGCUCCAGUUUUCUCACUAAAAAAUACGCGGCCACUUCUCGAAGACCCGCCGCCUCGACCACACCCGCGGCUGCGGCCUAGGCGCACGCGCAUGCGAUCUAGACCCGCUGCCUCGCCUCGUCGCCUCACCGGGGGCCCUUCCUACGGAACCGGCCGACGCCCCCGGGACCCACCCCGACGCGCAGAUACGCCGCUGGAGUAGCUCUGGUUCUUCGGCCGCAGCCACUACGACGACGUGUAGCUACUGGAGGAGGGAGAGUACACACGGGCGGCAGCACGUGGCACUGUCAGCUACGUCCCUCUCCUCCUGCUGGGGUCGGUACCUCGUCGUUGUUGACUUCAAAUUCCAGUUUCACUACCAGUACCCACUUUAAUCCCUGCUACGGGUCGUCGUUGUUGAGUGGUUGUGGACGAGGUUGCGGUACCUGGUUGUCGUCGUUGACUUCCUACACCCACUCCUUUCGCCUGUACGAGCUACCUGGCUGUUCCACCACUUCCUACUCGAACAAGUGACACAUACUAGGUAGGUACGGGGAAGACAAAACGACAAACAGUUGUGUGUAACAUGACAUACAAAUGUACGACAGUUACGAGUCACUCCAGACAAAGUUGCGAAUCGGUGAUCACAGUACAAAGACAGAUGACAGAAAGUACAAUUACGCAAAGUGUGACUUACAAAAACUGACAAAUUAAACCAUGUCCGAGUACAAUGGUUUUACCUCAUACCAUGUUUGAUUUUACUAGUAACGAAAUGAGAUGAGGAUUAGGUAAAAUAAGAUAUAAAACUAGUAAAGUGUAACUCAUAAACUCAACUGUCACUGUAGUAGAAAUAUCCCUUCUACUCCUUCGAGUGGCUGACGUAGAAGCAGCCGUAGUCACGGGAGCACGUACAGCUACAGUAGAAGUGGUCCUAGUUACGAGAACACGUACAGCUAUAGUAGCUAUAGUAGAAGUAGCCCUGGCUGAGGAGGUCCAACAACACAGCACGACCUCUACGACGGACGAAGCUCGACAACGACAACGACGGAUGAAGUUCGGGAGGUCCUCCGCUAGACCUGGUUCACCCCUCCGAUAGACGUCGUCAUGGACCUCGACGUACCCUCCCGCGCCGCUAGACCUGGACCCCGACGGUUAGACUUCGCCAUGGGGGAGGCCGCUCGUCAUGGAGCUAGACUUCGUCAUGAGAGACCUCGACCGCUCCGGAACCCUCCCCCUGUUGCUAGACGUCGUCGUGGGGGAGGCUGCUCCGCUCAACCACUCCGGGGGAGGUCGCCGUCCCCCGACCUAACCGCGUCCGCUGUCCCCCCACCGGGACCCUCUCCCCGCUGGGACCGCUGUCCUUCGUUCGUCGUCGCCGCUGACCCUACCUCUCCUAGACGAGCCGCUCCUUCUGCUGCCGUUAUCGCUAAGUUUAAUCCCCGUGAAGACAUGAAAGGAGGGAAAAGUGGACCAGCCCUGCAAAAAAUUUUGCAGUAUAUAAAGCCUUGCCUCCCUCA